UACGGAGGGUGCAAGCGUUAUCCGGAUUCACUGGGUUUAAAGGGUGCGUAGGUGGGCAGGUAAGUCAGUGGUGAAAUCUCCGAGCUUAACUCGGAACUGCCGUUGAUACUAUUUGUCUUGAAUAUUGUGGAGGUAAGCGGAAUAUGUCAUGUAGCGGUGAAAUGCUUAGAUAUGACAUAGAACACCAAUUGCGAAGGCAGCUCACUACACAAUGAUUGACGCUGAGGCACGAAAGCGUGGGGAUCAAACAGG
rnacentral:rRNA from 1 species